GCUUUCGUGGUGUAACGGUAGCGCACUCGGCAUGUAUUCCAGAGGUCCAGGUUCGAGUCCGGCGAGGGCA
rnacentral:tRNA from 1 species